rnacentral:rRNA from 1 species
CCUACGGGAGGCAGCAGUGGGGAAUAUUGGACAAUGGGGGCAACCCUGAUCCAGCAAUGCCGCGUGUGUGAUGAAGGCCCUAGGGUUGUAAAGCACUUUCAACGGUGACGAUGAUGACGGUAACCGUAGAAGAAGCCCCGGCUAACUUCGUGCCAGCAGCCGCGGUAAUACGAAGGGGGCGAGCGUUGUUCGGAAUUACUGGGCGUAAAGGGCGCGUAGGCGGUCUAUCCAGUUGGGCGUGAAAGCCCUGGGCUCAACCCAGGAAUUGCGUCCAAUACUAAUAGACUAGAGACCGAGAGAGGAUAGUGGAAUUUCCAGUGUAGAGGUGAAAUUCGUAGAUAUUGGAAAGAACACCAGUGGCGAAAGCGACUAUCUGGCUCGGUUCUGACGCUGAGGCGCGAAAGCGUGGGGAGCAAACAGGAUUAGAUACCCUUGUAGUC